rnacentral:rRNA from 2 species
AAACCAACAGGGAUUCCCCUAGUAACGGCGAGUGAAGCGGGAACAGCUCAAAUUUGAAAUCUGGCCCUCGGGUCCGAGUUGUAAUUUGUAGAGGAUGCUUUUGGUGCGGUGCCUUCCGAGUUCCCUGGAACGGGACGCCUUAGAGGGUGAGAGCCCCGUACGGUUGGACGCCUAGCCUCUGUAAAGCUCCUUCGACGAGUCGAGUAGUUUGGGAAUGCUGCUCUAAAUGGGAGGUAUAUUUCUUCUAAAGCUAAAUACUGGCCAGAGACCGAUAGCGCACAAGUAGAGUGAUCGAAAGAUGAAAAGCACUUUGAAAAGAGGGUUAAAUAGCACGUGAAAUUGUUGAAAGGGAAGCGUUUAUCACCAGACUUUUUCUAGGGGGAUCAUCCGGUGUUCUCACCGGUGCACUUCCCCUGGUUGAGGCCAGCAUCGGUUUUCGGAGGGGGAUAAAAGCUUCGGGAAUGUGACUCCCUCGGGAGUGUUAUAGCCCGUUGCAUAAUACCCUUCUGGGGACCGAGGUUCGCGCAUCUGCAAGGAUGCUGGCAUAAUGGUGAUCAACGAC